UGAGUUGUUGCUGGCCCUCAGAUGGGGGCAUGUGCACACUCUGUUUACACAUCCACUCACACCUGUGCACUCCUCUGUAGUACUGUGGUCUGGGGGUUCUGUCCUCCUACUGUGGUUCUGCGUAUUUAUACACACACACUGUAAUAAAGUCUCAUGGAAUGUAUGCCGCGUUUAACGCAAUGAAAUACAACUUUCAGCAACGGAUCUCUUGGCUCUCGCAUCGAUGAAGAACGCAGCGAAAUGCGAUAAGUAAUGUGAAUUGCAGAAUUCAGUGAAUCAUCGAAUCUUUGAACGCACCUUGCGCCCUUUGGCUAUUCCGAAGGGCAUGCCUGUUUGAGUAUCAUGAACACCUCAACUCUCAUGGCUUGCCAUGAUGAGCUUGGACUUGGGGGUUUUGCUGGCCUACAGUCAGCUCCCCUCAAAUGCAUCAGCUUUCCAGUUUUUGGUGGCACCACAAGUGUGAUAAACAUCUACACGUGUGGUUCCCCACCAUGUAACCUUCAGUGAUGGAGGUUUGCUGGAGCUCACAAAUGUCUUUCCUCAGUGAAGACAGUUCUUUGAUUGUUUGAUCUCAAAUCAGGUAGGACUACCCGCUGAACUUAAGCAUAUCAAUAAGCGGAGGAAAAGAAACUAACAAGGAUUCCCCUAGUAACUGCGAGUGAAGCGGGAAGAGCUCAAAUUUAAAAUCUGACGUGCCUCUGGUCGUCCGAGUUGUAGUCUGGAGAAGUGUUUUCCGUGCUGGAC
rnacentral:rRNA from 1 species